UAAUUAUGAAACAAUGUAGAUGAGCGAGAUAGAAGAUGCUAAUAACAGACUGUGUGUUGUGAAAGGUCUGUGAACCCUAUUCUGCCUGAUGCACAGUCAAUAAAGGCUCAUCAACAGUCGGUCCUAGGUUAUCAGCCAGAACUUCAUCCUGAGCCAGUCCCAUGAAGGUUGGAGAACAUGAUUUCAUCCUUUAGCUCGACUCAGAAGCACUUGGGAGGCAGAGGCAGGUGGACCUAUGUGAGUUUGAGGCCAGCCUGGUCUACAAAGUGAGUUCCAAAGCCAGUCAGGGCAGUUACACAGAGAAGUCCUGUUUUUGAACAAACAAACAAACAAAUGUCCACAGCAAAGUUCCACAUUAUAUAUUCACCACUGACCUGACUCAGUUUUCUGAGGAAGCAUCACUGUGUAUGUGGGUCACAUUCUCUAUUCUUCUGUGGCUGGAUCUCCAGGCUGGUUUCAUUUUCAUCUCCUGUGAGCAGCGCAGCUGUAAAAAUGGAUGAGCAAGCAUUUCUGUGCCAUGAUGAUUCAAGGAGUCACUGGUAAAGCUGGUCAUGUGACAGUUUUCAGAAUCCAUGUGUUAAGCUGAAACCUCCUUCCCCUCCUAGAGAAAUACAUUCAAAAGAAAAAUGCUCAGAUGUUAACAGCCUAGUGAUCUAACAGAAGAGUGUUUCUGUGACAACCGUAAUCUCAAGUAAGUGGGGAGCAACUCAUGCCUUUCGAAUUAUUUCAUGUAAAUAAAUUCACAAAUCAGGAAAGUAAUUCGUUGUUCUGGCUUGGAUGUUAUCCCGGAGACUUCCUCCUUCUCCAAGCUCAGCCUUCCACACACAUUCCACUUUGGUUACAGACUGCCCCUCAGAGUGUUAGUCUCCUUCAUGGGAACUUGGCUACUAUAGCUUAACUCUAUUAAUAAGGCAGUCAGUGUUAUAAUUUAAAAAUGGCGGGAGAGAGAGAGACCCAUGCCAGGCUAUAGAGCUCACGUGGAGAGUUUAUUGGGGGAGAGGGAGGUAGAGACGCAGAGUGUGGCCUCUGGAGACAAGAGUUGAGGAGAGAAGAGAGAGGGGAGGCAGGAGGCCAAGCUGACCUUUUAUGAAGGGACUUAGCACAUGUGUCCAGGGACUCUACUUAAACAUAGCAGAUGACAUUGUUGGGACUCUGAGCAGGCCAGUGUAACUGUCUGA